UACAGGGUCUCCCAGGCCUGCAAGCAAGGGACAAAAAGACUAAGCAAAGAACAGAGAAGCUGUGGACCCUCGGGAGAUCAGCCCACUUAGCCUCCUGUAGUCCCAAGCCUGUGACCCCUGAAAGAGGCUCAAGGAGCUAAAAGAAGUCACUCAAACCCCUGCAGGGCUCCAGCUGCACCACCCAUCCACCUGAGGACCCUCCAUAAUCACCCAUAGGACCUUGUGUCUGUCUAUCAUCUUUCCUCCUUCCUCAUCUGAGUCCUCCCUGUACCUGAACCAAGAGAUGAGUCACUGCACCCCGCCCUUGCAAAGUGCCAGUGUUGGGACCAGAACAAGGAGUUCACACCAAGUUCUGCUUCCGGGGGUUCCAAUGUGACCUCAGCCAACUCCCCAAGUCCCAGCCCCUGCUUUUGCCUCUGAGAAGUGGGCCUUGGGAUCCCAUGAUGCAGACCUACAAGGAGAGUGUGGAGACGCAUAAGGGACGCUCUGGCCACACGUAGAAGCUGUGGCUGACCCCUGGCUGAAGGGAAGCAGAGGCCCUGGGGCACAGAGCCUCCAUCAGUUGCUGGGGACCUGGAAGCCCGAUUAAUGCCUCCCUCCCAUUCCUGCCCAGCUUGAUGCAGCAUGAACUGGAAUUUCCCGAUAAUUCGCACUAAUUAACUGAUGCUACCGCCCGCCCCCCCCCCCACUCCUGGCUCUUUACUCGGCUCCCAGCGCCCCAGGGAGUCUCGAGGAGUCCGACUGGUUUGGGAGGCCUUGGGAGACUGAGCUGCCGCCUCCCACCCACCUGAAGCUUCCUCAGCGGCACGGGUGUCACUUCUAGGACCUCUGGCUAGUUGCCCACAGGCGAAGACAGGGCAACCAGACUCCUCAGCCCACACCUGAGACACGUGGACCCAGGACACGACAGGGACGCCUCGGGAUGCCCUCAGCCAUGCCACCUGCCCUCCAAGGCUUGAGGACAGUGGUCCUCACAUAGCCUGGAUCUCUUCUGCCCUGUGACUGUGGCUGAACCUCCCAGGGGCACAACCCUUCUUUCUCUGCUCAGUAUUUAUUAGGCACUUCCUGUGUGCCCAGCCCUGUACCAGGUGUGAGGACACAGAAACACAGGAGCAAGCUCUGGGCCCAGCUUACAGCCUGGUGGGAGGAGAAGUGUUGUGUAAAAGACUAAGGUCGUAGCAUGCAGAUGAGUUAGCAUCGCCAUGCCAACAAGAACGACACCGAGGCUCCACCUAUAGAAAGUUCCAGAGAAAUAAAC
rnacentral:lncRNA from 1 species